rnacentral:lncRNA from 1 species
UCUCCAGUCUAGAGACUUCAAGUCUUCAACAAUAAUUCGAAGUUCAUCAAUCUUGUAAGUAUCUCAGUUGAUGAAAAUGUUCAUCAUUAAUAAUUUAUUUUGCUUCAUCAUAAUAUCUUGAUUUUAUGUUGUAUUAAAUUGUUAUAAUCCAACAUCUAAAACUUGUCCAAAGUUUUUUCUACUUUUAUUUAAAUCCAUUUAGACUGAAGUUAUAGAUUAAUUUUAGAAGGCCUCUAAGUUAAUCUUAUGUCUAGAAGUACCCGUAC